AAAAGGACCAAGCAGUCAAAACCACCAGCGCUUCCACUAAGAGCCUGGGAAGAAGAUCAUCUGACCAUGAAAAGCAUCCAUAGCUCCCUCACCAUUGGGGAGAAGAGAUGUCCCCGCAGAGCUGCAGCUGGGCGAGGGGACGUAUAACAGUGUGGACGGCGACAGUGACUGCUACCUCUGGACACCAGUGUGGGAGGACAGCUUGAUCUUCAGGCUUCUCUAUUGACUGGGACUGUGCAGCGGUUCUGGCUGGCUGCUUUCCUGAGGCUAUAGUAUUGACACCCAGGUUCUGGUUUGGAUAGCAGGGUCGCAGGACUACGACUCUCCUCUUUUGAUUAAUUGAGCGCCAGCCUUGAUUAAUGAUGCCUUUAGCCGCAAUCUUCUUCUUGCUGUGGACUCAAAAACUUUUAUGUAGCUACGCUGCAGGGGAAGGCUCCACGGAGAGGAGCCAGCAUGAGGCCGCCGUCGAAGCUUAUAACACUCUAGUCCAAAUCGUGCUGCUUCUAUUAUUAUUUUGUAAUUUCUUAAACUGAGGUGGUAACAUUGCUAUUUCCCAUUCCAUGUAAAAGUUUUAUUAAUUGCUGGAUUUUGAUUGAUUUUAUUUGUUCAAAUAUUUCCAGUUUUGUCACGUGCACUCUGAGAAAUAUCUGUGUAUUAACAGUUGUAUGACUGUAUAUUUUAACAUUUGUAUCCGUCUGUUUAUUUGCAUUUCAAAUUGCGUCACGGAACCUUUGUGCUCCGACAACAUAGAGUUCCAAUCGCAACAGCGUUAUCGUAAAUUAUGAACCAGAGUGAUUAUUGACCAGAGUCAAAAGUGCUAAAAAAAGUGAUUCAAAAGUGUCAAAAAAGCUUAAAAUUAAUUAAAGCUUUUUUUUGUAA